GCCUGGGUGGCUCAGUCGGUUGAGCUUCUGACUUGGGCUCAGGUCAUGAUCUCGCGGUUCGUGAGUUCGAGCCCCACGUCAGGCU
rnacentral:tRNA from 1 species